CAUGCAAGUCGAACGAGUUCUCGUUGAUGAUCGGUGCUUGCACCGAGAUUCAACAUGGAACGAGUGGCGGACGGGUGAGUAACACGUGGGUAACCUGCCCUUAAGUGGGGGAUAACAUUUGGAAACAGAUGCUAAUACCGCAUAGAUCCAAGAACCGCAUGGUUCUUGGCUGAAAGAUGGCGUAAGCUAUCGCUUUUGGAUGGACCCGCGGCGUAUUAGCUAGUUGGUGAGGUAAUGGCUCACCAAGGCGAUGAUACGUAGCCGAACUGAGAGGUUGAUCGGCCACAUUGGGACUGAGACACGGCCCAAACUCCUACGGGAGGCAGCAGUAGGGAAUCUUCCACAAUGGACGCAAGUCUGAUGGAGCAACGCCGCGUGAGUGAAGAAGGCUUUCGGGUCGUAAAACUCUGUUGUUGGAGAAGAAUGGUCGGCAGAGUAACUGUUGUCGGCGUGACGGUAUCCAACCAGAAAGCCACGGCUAACUACGUGCCAGCAGCCGCGGUAAUACGUAGGUGGCAAGCGUUAUCCGGAUUUAUUGGGCGUAAAGCGAGCGCAGGCGGUUUUUUAAGUCUGAUGUGAAAGCCCUCGGCUUAACCGAGGAAGCGCAUCGGAAACUGGGAAACUUGAGUGCAGAAGAGGACAGUGGAACUCCAUGUGUAGCGGUGAAAUGCGUAGAUAUA
rnacentral:rRNA from 2 species